GAAAGGGAAAGAUAAGAAAAGAAAGGAAAAGGUAAAUGAAAAGAUAAAUGAAAAGAAAGGAAAGGAUGAUAAGAAAAGAAGGGGAAAGAUAAGAAAAGAAGGGGAAAGAUAAGAAAAGAAGGGGAAAGAUAAGAAAAGAAGGGGAAAGAUAAGAAAAGAAGGGGAAAGAUAAGAAAAGAAGGGGAAAGAUAAGAAAAGAAGGGGAAAGAUAAGAAAAGAAGGGGAAAGAUAAGAAAAGAAGGGGAAAGAUAAGAAAAGAAGGGGAAAGAUAAGAAAAGAAGGGGAAAGAUAAGAAAAGAAGGGGAAAGAUAAGAAAAGAAGGGGAAAGAUAAGAAAAGAAGGGGAAAGAUAAAUGAAAAGAAGGGAAAAGAUAAAUGAAAAGAAGGGAAAAAAAGAACAACCAACCAAAUGUGUCUAUUUACCCUCUUUUUAAAAAGCAUUAAUAAAAGUUGUUGUUCUGACAGGGUUCUGCACUUCCUUGUCUGCAGAUCCUCCCCCAGCUCCUUUCUUGCCCCUUUCCACCAAAGCUAGGAAGGCUUCGAGAAGAUAUCUCCUGCAGGGAAGGGGGUGGGGAGGAAAGGACGUCUAAAUGAAGCUAUUUAAGGCCUUCCUAAGCUUGUGCAAGUGCUGUGGGUAAAGCAGGGGAAGGUGGCCCUAGGUCCAAUGCCUCAGGGAUGGAAAAAUCCCACAUGGAUGGAUGGAUGGAUGGAUGGAUGGAUGGAUGGAUGCAGGAAGAAGUGGGUGCUUCCCCUCUCAGUGUCCCUCAAUAAGGACGUUAUAGAAUCAACCAGGUUGGAAAAGACCUCCAAGAUUGAACAGAUAGGAAGAUAAUCUCCUUGUUGAGAUGAGAAAUCCCUCUCCUCAUCCCCCCUUCUCCCCAUGGCUUUAUCCCUUUGAAGGGCUUUUCCAGCUCCAGGAGUCAGGUCAUGAUGUACAGGUUGGUGUUUGGAGGUAGAAGUGUCUCAGAAGUGGGCUGAGGAGUGGUGGGUACUGGCAGGGCCCUCUCCAAGCUCAAACCUCCCUAUUGGAAGGAUUAUGAUGAUGAUCAUUAAUGUUGUUGUUAUCAUCACCAUCAAAUCCACCCUCUGCAGCCCCUUGCUGAGUCUGUCUUGAUCUUAAUCCUGCCCAAGAGGUUUUUCCUUCCAUGCUGGUGAGUACUUGGGGUCCAAAGGUGAUGCCCUGGGGAAAGAGAAGGUGCUUGGUGAGCUGGGAUGUCAGGGCUGCCCGCACUGCCUGGCCAGCCAGGAUCUCUCUGGCAGGAUGCUGAUAUUAACAGGCGGUUUCCAUGGUUUCUCCCUGAUCACAGAGGAUGCUUCCUAGGAACAAGAGCAGGCAAGCAGAAAACAAAAGGGAGACGUUGAGGCAUGCAGUGUGGGGUGUCCUCCAGCUUUGUUGUUACGUCAGCUGGUGUUAUCCGUGUCCAAAUGAGCAUCCCUGGAUUUGAGGAGAGGAAAAAUCGAUACACAAAGAUAGUUCCUGAAGUGGAAACCAAGGCAGUGAAGCUGCUCCUCCCACCAGCAUGGACCUCUUCUCUGGAGGACAUUGAUCACCCAGCCUGCAGCAAUGGGUGAUGUCUCCUUGGGACUGAGCAUUUAUUCACACAUGGGGUCAUUUAGGCUGCAAAAGACCUUUAAGGUCAUCAAGUCCAGUCCUUAAGCCAGCAUUGCAAAGUCACCACUAAACCAUGCCCCUCAGCAGCACAGCUACAGAGCUUUUAAACCCCUCCAGGGAUGAGGACUCCACCACUGCCCUGGGCAAGCUGUCCCAGGGCUUGGCAACCGUUUUGAGGAAGAAAUUGUUCCUCACGUCCAACCUCAACCUCCCCUGGCACAAGUUAAGGCAGUUUCCUUGUGUCUUCUCUCUUGUUCCUUGGGAAGAGACUGACCCACACCUCACUCCAGCCUCCUGUCAGUGAGUUAUUGAGAGUGAGAAGGUCUCCCCUGAGCUUCCUUCUCUCCUGCCUGAACAACUCCAGUUCUCUCAGCCUCUCCUUGCAGGACUUGUGCUCUGGACCCUUCACCAGCAUUGCUGCUCCAGCACCUCAAAGUCCUUCUCAUAGAGAGAGGCCCAAAACUGAACUCAGGAUUUGUUGAAGGAUGAAGUUAAGGAGAGGUCUAAUAAGGGGCAGGUGAGUUUUGUGGAAGACCCUCCUUAGCAGCCAGCUCAUCCUUCCCUGGCCCUGAAAUUCCCACCUGGGGGAUAUGGUGGGUACUGGCAGGACCAUCUCCAAGCUCAAACUAUCCUAUUAGAAAGAAGAUGAUGAUAAAGAUGAUUAUCAUUGCUGUUA